UACGUAGGCAGCGAGCGUUGUUCGGAGUUACUGGGCGUAAAGGGCGUGUAGGCGGUUUUGUAAGUCUGGCGUGAAAUAUCUCGGCUUAACCGAGGCAGGUCGUCGGAUACUGCAAGACUAGAGGACGGUAGAGGCGUGUGGAAUUCCGGGUGUAGUGGUGAAAUGCGUAGAGAUCCGGAGGAACACCAGUGGCGAAGGCGACACGCUGGGCCGUACCUGACACUGAUGCGCGACAGCAUGGGGAGCAAACAGG
rnacentral:rRNA from 1 species